rnacentral:rRNA from 1 species
AUUGAACGCUGGCGGCAUGCCUUACACAUGCAAGUCGAACGGCAGCACGGUAACAGGUUCCUACUAGGGGUGGCCGGUGGCGUACGGGUUAGGAAUGAACCGGUACCUACUUGUUCGCUAGGGAUAAGAUAGGCUAAUUUACGCUACUACCGAAUAAGGCAUGCGGGUGAAAGCAGGGCCUCUCCGGACCUUGCGGGAUGGAGUGAGCCGAUGUCGGAUUAGCUAGUUGGUGGGGUAAAGGCCCACCAAGGCGACGAUCCGUAGCUGGUCUGAGAGGACGACCAGCCACACUGGGACUGAGACACGGCCCAGACUCCUACGGGAGGCAGCAGUGGGGAAUUUUGGACAAUGGGCGCAAGCCUGAUCCAGCAAUGCCGCGUGUGUGAAGAAGGCCUUCGGGUUGUAAAGCGCUUUUGUUCGGAAAGAAAAGCAUCGGGUUAAUACCCGGGGGUUAUGACGGUACCGUAAGAAUAAGCACCGGCUAACUACGUG